UUUUUAAUUUUUUUAUUGAAAUAAGAUUGCCAAAAGCUAGAAACGAAAUAGCUAAAUUAUGAAGGAGAGAAAUGUAGGUUUCCUUUCUUUUCCUAGAUUUUCCUCUGAUAAGAACUAUUUACAAAUGAUGAAGUCCAUGUAUUGGCAUUAAAACAUUCUCCGGACAAAAUGAGCUUUCAAGAAAAUGGUGGCCGGGCACGGUGGCUCACACCUGUAAUCCCAGUACUUUGGGAGGCUAAGGCGGACAGAUCACAGGAGUUUGACACCAGCCUGGCCCACAUGGUGAAACCUCGUCUCUACUAAAAAUACAAAAAUUAGCUGGGCGUGGUGGCGGGUGCCUGUAGUCCUAGCUAUUCGGGAGGCUGAGGCAGGAGAAUCACUUGAAUCCCCGUGCCACUGCACUCCCAGCAUGGAUGACAGAGUGAGACUCCAUCUCAAAAACAAAAAAAGAAAAAGAAAAAAAAGAAAAGAGCGAAGAAAAGGCAGGCCUAACUAUGUGUGUAGCCUAGAUUUUAAGCAACCUCAUUCUUAACAUUAUGCUACAUUUUGCAUACUGAAGUAAGAAUAUAGGUUCAUAGGCUGGGCGUGGUGGCUCAUGCCUGGGCCGAGGCGGGCGGAUCACUUGACGUCAGAAGUUCAAGACUCGCCUGGCCAACGUAGCGAAACCCCAUCUCUACUAAAAAUACAAAAAAUAGCCAGGCGUAGUGGCGCAAGCCUGUAAUCCCAGCUACUGGGGAGAGGCUGAGGCAGGAGAAUCAUCUGAACCCAGGAGGCAGAGGUUACAGUCAACCGAGAUCAUGCCACUGCCCUUCAGCCUGGACAACAAAGCAAGAUUCCAUCCCCCCGCCAAAAAAAAAAACACACACACACACAAGCAAGCAAGCAGCAUCCCACUAUAAUAGGUCCAAGAUUAGGUAAGGAUUAUACUGAAAUAUAUCAGGGUUAUGGAAUAUGCAAUCUACCAAUACUUCUAAAACAAAAUAGCAGCAUGAUAAGUAAAGGGGAUGAGCUGUAUUUAUAUUUACAUGGCUUGCCUGGGAAGCUCAACAAAAAAGAACUAUGUUCUCAGGGGCAGGCGUGGUGGCUCCUGCCUGUAAUCUCAGCACUUUGGGAGGCUGAGGCAGGAGAAUCUCUUGAGCCCAGGAGUUCCGGGACCAGGCUGAGCAACACAGUGAGAUGAAGUCUCUACAAAAAAAAAAUAUAUAUUUUUUUUUAAGAGAAUAUGACCUUGGUCAGGUGCAGUGGCUCACGCCUGUAAUCCCAGUACUUUGGGAGGCCAAGGCAGGCAGAUCACCUGAGGUCAGGAGUUCGAGGUCAGCCUUGCCAACAUGGUGAAACCCUGUCUCUACUAAAAAUACAAAAACUAGCUGUGUGUGGUGGCACGUGCCUGUAGUCCCACCUACUUGGGAGGCUGAGGCAGGAGAAUCACUUGAACCCAGGAGGCAGAGGUUGCAGUGAGCCAAGAUCAUGCCACUAUACUACAGCCUGGGUGAUAGAGCAAGACUCUGUCUGAAAAACAAAAAAGAGAGAGAGAGAAUGUGGAGAAUGUGGCCUCACUAUGUUGCCCAGGCUGGUCUUCAACUCCUGGCUUCAAGUAAUCCUCCUGUCUCUGCCUCCCUAAAUGCUGAGAUUACAAGCGUGAGCCACCACACCCAGCAGCAAAAAUCUUGUUUAAAAAAAUUAGCCAGGCGUAGUGACAUACGCCUGUGGUCCCUACUACUUGGGAGGCUAUGGUGGGGGGAUCUCUUGAGCCAGGGCCCAGGAGGUGGAGGCUGCAAUAAGCCAUGAUCAUGCCACUACACUCCAGCAUGGGCAACAGAGCAAGAACUUGUCUCAGAAAGAAUUAUGUUCUCUAUAGUUAUCAGUCUUGGCAGUUGCUGAAAUAUAAAAAGGAACUUCUUAAAAUAUAUUAAACACAAACAGAGCAGUAUCUAAUAGGAUAAUUUUAAAAUACCGUUCUACUUCAUCAACAAAACUAUGUUUGUCCUAAAAAAUACCAGAGGACAAAGUGCUUAACCAAAGUCCAACUUUAUAUAUGAAAUCUGCUCAGUAUUAGCUGGGCGAGGUGGCAAACACCUGUAAUCCCAGCUACUUGGGAAGCUGAGGCAGGAGAAUUGCUUGAACCCGAGAGGUGGAGGUUGCAGUGUGCCAAGAUCACACCACUGCACUCCAGCCUGGGCAACAAGAGCGAGACUCUAUCUGGAAAAACAAAAAACAAAAAACAAAAACUGUUCAGACCUUCUCAGUGGGAGUGUACACUUUCUGGAAAGCAAUUUGGCCAUAUGACAUAAAAUGCGUUUUUGACCCAGAAAUACCAACUCUGGAACACAUCCUCAGGAAGUGCAGAUCAAAUUGAGUACAAUAGGAAAACAUAGGAAAAAUCCCUCAAAUGUCCAAUAAGGGAAUUACCAAAUAUGUUAUGGCAUAUCCACAAGACAUACCACAAUGGAAUAAACUAUGAAGACAUGAAAAAUGUUUUAGAUAGAAAAAUGCAUACACUGUAACAAUUAAACCAGAAUAUAAAGCAUUAUAAGUAAUAUUAUCUCAGAACUUUUUAAAAGACAUCUGGAUAUACACAUUAAGAAGACAAAAACGAAAUGCUUUUAAUGUUGACAGUAGUUAAUCUUGGAUGGUAGAAAUAAGUGGCUUCUUCUACCUUAUACUAUUCUUUUCACAUCUCCGCUAAUGAGCCUGUAUUGUUUUGAUAACACAAAAAAAAUUUCAGAAAAAAAAUUUUUUAAUAAUAUUUGAGUAACUUUUUUAUAGGUUCAAUGUAUUUUGUAUCCAUGUUCAGUAACCAUCCACUUACUAUAUCUUUGAAAAACUUAAAAAAUCCAUUAACUUGUGAAAUAUCUUCUAAGACAGGCAUUUAGAAUGCAUUAUUGCACUCUAACAGCUUCUUAAUGAGAACAUUUGGCUUUCAAGAUUCUUGGUCUGCAAGGAAAAACAAAUAAUUGGAGCGGGGAUGAAGGGUAGAAAACUUUAUGGAAGGUAGAGAUGUUCCUUUGUAAGAUGCCUCAUUUUCCACAACUCAGAAUCUAUACUUGAAGACCACCUUAUUGGAAGACUAGCUUCUCCAGUCAAGUUUCAGAUGUGUAAAACAUCUAGACUUGAACCACAGCCCAUUUUCUUUAAAAAUGGUUUUUGCCAUUCUUACCUCCAAAGAAAUUAAAUAAUAAGCAAUACAAUCAAAUACAAAAUUAUUUCUGCUUUUUUUUUUUUUUUUUUUUUGAGACGGAUUUUCACUCUGUUGCCCAGGCUGGAGUGCAGUCGCUCAAUUUCGGCUCAACGCAACCUCCGCCUCCCAGGUUCAAGCAAUUCUCCUGCCUCAGCCUCCUGAGUAACGCCAGGCUAAUUUUUGUAUUUUUAGUACAGAUGGGGUUUCAUCAUGUUGGUCAGGCUGGUCUCAAACUCCUGACCUCAUGAUCCGGCCGCCUUGGCCUCCCAAAGUGCUGGGAUUACAGGCGUAAGCCAUUGCGCCUGGCCCUCCGCUUUUUUUUUUUUUUUUUUUUUUUUUUUUUGAGACGGAGUCUCGCUCUGUUGCCCAGGCUGGAGUGCAGUGGCGCAAUCUUGGCUCACUGCAAGCUCUGCCUCCAAGGUUCACGCCAUUCUCCUACCUCAGCCUCCCGAGUAGCUGGGACUACAGGUGCCCACCACCACACCCAGCUAAUUAUUUGUAUUUUUAGUAGAGACGGGGUUUCACCGCAUUAGCCAGGAUGGUCUUGAUCUCCCUCUGCUUUUUAAAGAUACUAAAAGUAGUUCAACAACUCAGUAAUGCCUGUUAGCCAGUUAUUUAAAUAUCCAAACAUAAUAUUCCACUCUUACUUUCCACAGAUUAUCAUUCCUUCUCCUAAUUCAUGUUCAUAGAUAAAUAUAUAGUCCUCAAAUGUUAGUCAGUAUGCUUAAGAUGCCUGGAUUUAAAAUGCUCUCUCUAGAGAGACACACAGUACUCAUUACGUCUGUAUUUCUUAUUCUAUAAAGCAAACAUUUCAUAUACGAUACAAAAACUGCAGCUGAUUUUUUAAAUUAAAUUAAAUACAAAAAAGAUGUUUAAUGGAUUAAGAUCUCCCAAUCCACAGUUCUAUGGUUCUAACCUCAGCUGGAUCUAAAGAGGUGGGAAAAGUAGAAAGUACACUGGCCCCAGAUUCUAAUUCUAUCUCUGCUACGAAUUAGCUUUGUUGCCUUGGAAUUCCACUUAACCUCACUGGAUCUGCUAGCCACAUCUAAAAAAUGAGGGGAAAAUUAGACUACUUAAUCAAGGUUUCUACAAACUCUUUAAAAAAUGAUUCUAGGUUCAUAUUUCUACAGUCUUCCCAAAUAUCUUCUUUUCCUAAUUCUCAGCAGUAAUAAACUUUCCCUUGGAUUAACCUUUCAGGUAUCAACAAUGUGCAAAAGUGUAGACAAAUUUUUAUACUUCCAUUUAAAAAAUACAUAAUGUCCAUAAGAUUUAUCCUAUAUUAUUUUGGCAAAUCCUAUUAGAUAUUUUUUAAUAACUAUAACAUAUCUAAAAGCCCCAGUUAAAAAUAAAGAUUACUCAAUAUACAUUACACAUAUAGGCACAUGACUUAUUGUGCAAUAACUGCCAGAACAGUUAGCAAUGGAAAAAAUACUUCAUUCCUUGACACUAAUCAGAAAAGACAAGACUAGGGUGUUUCUUUUUUAUAAUGUUCAAAACAAAAGAGAACACUACAUAUAUCAAGUGUCUCUACAUAAAACUGGAUUAAAUUAGGUAUCAUUUCAGUUUUAAAAUCCUAAGGAAAGGCAUUCUAAGUCUGAGCAUUCUGUAACUAAGCUGCAUUAUCUUUUAGACUCAAACCAAACCCUACAUAUAAUAGUAAUUCAGUCUCAUGAACCUUUUGAGUAAGUUAAAUGACAUCUAUUAAAUCUUCCUUAAUGUUUAAGGCACAUGUAGUGACAUUUUAAUGUUUACAAAAUGUUGAUUUUUACAAAAAGAAAAUUGGCUUCAGCUGAAGCUUUUCAUACCUGAGAAGUCGCUUCUUAAAUGUGAAUAAGUAAAUGGUCACCUUUCUAGAGUGACACAUAGUACUCAAUACAUCUGUAUUUCUGAUUCUAUAAAGCAACUAUUUUAUAUACAAUACAAAAAGUGCAGCUGAUUUUUUAAAAGGCUAAACUUACUAUUUUGGACACAUUGUUUCUACCUAAAAAUCUCUAAAAUCAUCUUUAAUCACUAACUUGGAUUUUAAUCACUACAUCCUCAACAUAUUCUAUAAGAAUCAGGGGUUAGGUUAGAGCCUUGAGGUUAAAAAAAAAAAAAAGUAUGAAAUUCACUGAGGGGGUCCCUUUCAGCAUCUUAAAAGCCACAGCCAAUUACAGCCCAGAUGUCUUUUUUCUUUUUUAAAUUAAUAUUACUUUUAAUUGACAAAUCAUAAUUGUAUACAUUUAUGGAGUACAAUGAGAUGUUCUGAUACAUGUUUACAGUGUGGAAUGACUAAUUCAAGCCAAUUACACAUCCAUCACCUUAUCUUUGUGACUUUUUUUUUCUUAACUGAAGCUACCCACACCAUUACAAUUUUAAAAAGAAUAGUCUAAUGAUAACAGUGGGCUGGGCACAGUGGCUCACGCCUGUAAUCCCAGCAUUUUGGGAGACCAAGGCAGGCAUAUUACUUGAGACCAGGAGUUCGAGAACAGCCUGCCCAACAUGGUGAAACCCCGUCUCUACUAAAAAUACAAAAAUUAGCUGGGCAUGGUGGCAGUCGCCUGUAGUCCCAGCUACUCGGGAGGCUGAGGCACGAGAAUAGCUUGAACCCAGGAGGCAGAGGUUGCAGUGAGCCAAGAUCAUGCCACUGCACUCCAGCCUGGGCAACACAGCGGGACUCCGUCUCAAAAAAAAAAAAAAGAUAAUGGUGGAGCCACUGGUUCACUUUGACUUCAACAGCUUUGCAGAAGUUUUGUUGUUGUUAAAUAUAAUAAUCUAAUGGUGGGGGCGGGGCAGGGGGGAACACAUGAUGCGAUUACUUUCCCCAAUCCAUAAAUCCACUACUGCAGCCCACAUCUGGAUAGAUACAGUGAUUCAAAGUAGAAAAUGAUACCAGUUGAGUCCCUUCUCAGUAUUUUUCAAGCCAUCGUUCCUGCAUUAAACAGGUACGCCCAAUUACAAAUAACAACAGUUACCAUCUACCUAUCCCCUUCUGUGGGCCAGUAUGAGUGCUAGCCACUUAACAUCUUUCAUGUCAUUUAAUCCCUAGAGCAACUCUGUAAGAAACAUAUCAUUACCUCCAUUUAAUAGAUGGGAAAGUAAGGACUCAAAGAGGAUGUAAGGCUGCUAAGCGGCAGAGCCAGAUUUCAAAUCCAGGGCUGUCUGACUUCAAAGGUCAUGCUCAUUAAGCUACACUGUCUACUGAAAACAGAAGCAUAAAAAUCACCAAGAAGUUUCUCAAAGAUUUGCUCAACUUUUUAGAGUUCCCAAGCAUAACAACUCAACUGCAACAAAUACAACUGGCUGUAUUAAUACACCUAUCCACAUGAAACAUUAAUUCCAUGUUGUCAAAGAGCAAGUUUUACAAGAUGACUCCAAUUCUCAUCUCAAGGGGAUAUGAGAAAAUUUACAGUUAACUGAGCUCAACUUCACUCAAGCUUAUGCCUCAUCUUUUCCAUAUUAUAUAAAAGCUCUAGCAGGCUUAUAAUCCCAGUAUGCUGGGAGGCCAAGGCAGGAAGACUGCUUGAGGCCAGGAGCUCAAGACCAGCCCUGGCAACAUAGCAAGAGCCCGUCUUUAUAAAAAAUAAAAAUUAAAAAUAAAUAGCGAGCCAUGGUGGUAGCACAUGCCUGUAGUCCCAGCUACUUGGGAGGCUGAGACAGGGAAGAUCACAUAAGCCCAGGAGUUGGAGGCUGCAGUGAGCUACGACUGCACCACUGCACUCCAGUCUGGGUGAAAGCUCAAGACCCUGUCUCCAAAAAAGAAAAGAAAAAAAUUCUAAUAUAAAUAUGUAACCCGAAGUUCAUGUUUCCUCAUUAAUUUUAGUGGUAUUAGGCCAGGAACGGUGGCUCAUGCCUGUAAUGCCAGCACUUUGGGAGGCCGAGGCAGGAGGCUCGCUUGAGCCCAGGAGUUCAAGGCUGGCCUGGCAACAUAGGAAGAUCUUGUCUCUACCAGAAAAAAAAAAAAAAAAAAAAAAAAAAAAUUAGUGGUAUUAGAUACACAUUCCACUCUUCUAUUCCUGCGGAAAGAUAGUCAUUCCAAGCGCAAAAAAUCAUAAUAUUACAAUAGGAGGCCAGGCGCGGUGGCUCACACCUGCAAUCCCAGCAUUUUAAGAGGCCGAGUCGGGCGGAUCACAUGAGGUCAGGAGUUUUGAGACUAGCCUGAGCAACAAAGCAAAACCCAUCUCUACUAAAAGUAAUUAGCCGGGCGUGGUGGAGGACGUCUGUAAUCCCAGCUACGCAGGAGGUGGAGGCAGGAAAAUCGCUUGAACCUGGGAGGUGGAGGUUGCAGUGAGCUGAGAUCUCGCCACUGCACUCCAGCCUGGGGGACAAAGCGAGACUCCGUCUCAAGAAAAAAAAUUAAUAAUAAUACUACUAGAAAAGGAGCCGAACAACAAGCAGUGCAAGGACUAAGAAUCACAAGUUACCUAUUUUCUCAAACAUGAAAGCUGUGUUUGAAUCAUCUUGUGUAACCUAACCAGUCGGACAGCUAAUCUUCAGGAUUUCAACAGUCAUCGAAAAGGUGGAAGAACUGCUGCCAUCUCUCUUCAGAACAGUUCUAAAACUCCCCUGGCGUGUACAAGCCACUACCAGCUAAAACUGAGUCACAACAACUCUUGGGCUCUAAAUAAAGAUCGAGGCGAAAUCUUUCACUCCUAUUUAUUUCCCAACCAACCAAACAAGCAAAACGAAACAAUCACCUUUCUACUCAAUCAUUGCUGAACAAACACCACAUUCUAUGUAAGUCCUCAGUGCAAUUUUCCUUCCACCCAUUCCCUAGGCCUGCUAAGCUAUGUUCCUGCCCAGUACCUUCUUUUCUCUUCAAGUGAAAAACACCAUUUAAAGACCAACUCCUCUUUCGCAGGGUAGUUAACUUUAUGCUAACUGCAGAUCCAUCUUAUCUAGUCGCUUAAGACAAUUAACUCUUAGCUUAAUAAAUACUAUGUAUUGUGGGCUAGCUGGAGCUCAGCAAUGAGCUUGGUCUCCGCGCCUGGGGGACGGGUGAAAACAAGUAACUGAAUUAGAUGGGACCAGCGGCCCACAGAAUUCAGGAAGGCGCUCACACUGGUCUCCCGCUUUCACAAUGGGUCUAUUGGUCCAAAGUGGCAACUUAAGAGAGGCUCUUAAUGCUUACGCUUUCUCGUACGGCUGACGGAUUUGCCAAAUCCCACCCUUUGGGAAAGUGACAGACUGGACUUAACUCUUUGGCUGCCCCUACUGGGCAAACCCAAGGGAAACCCCAAUCCCCAAGCGCUUUAAAAAUGUGACGAGUUCAAUUUAACUCUUUCCGAGCCCCCGCGGCGUUGAGGACACAGCCCUUGGAAAAUGUCUACACUGACUUAACCCUUCCGCUGCCGAUCUCAGUGCUACUCCCCGCGCCGCCAACACGCGGGAAAUUCCAAAUGCUGGCCCUCGGGAGAUGACAGGCCCAGCUUCGCACGCCCCCCGCCAUCAGUCCCAUCGCGCCGAGGGGGGCCCCAACUCAGGCCUUGGAGAAGCGCCGGGCCGGACUCCUGGCUGCGGAGCCCCGGGCGAGUGAGUGGGCGGGCGCUCACCGCGAUGACAUUGACGAAGGUGGUCUUGCCCGAGUACUGCAGCCCCA
rnacentral:lncRNA from 10 species